UACGGGGGGGGGCGAGCGUUUGUUCGGAAUUACUGGGCGUAAAGGGUGCGUAGGCGGUGCUCUAAGUCGGAUGUGAAAACUCUGGGCUCAACCCAGAGCCUGCAUCCGAAACUGGAGUGCUAGAGUUCUGGAGGGGGUAGCGGAAUUCCUGGUGUAGCGGUGAAAUGCGUAGAUAUCAGGAGGAACACCGGUGGCGAAGGCGGCUACCUGGACAGAAACUGACGCUGAGGCACGAAAGCUAGGGGAGCAAACAGG
rnacentral:rRNA from 1 species